GCGAACGCUGGCGGCAGGCCUAACACAUGCAAGUCGCACGCACCUUUCGGGGUUAGUGGCGGACGGGUGAGUAACACGUGGGAACGUGCCUUUAGGUUCGGAAUAACUCAGGGAAACUUGUGCUAAUACCGAAUGUGCCCUUCGGGGGAAAGAUUUAUCGCCUUUAGAGCGGCCCGCGUCUGAUUAGCUAGUUGGUUGAGGUAAUGGCUCACCAAGGCGACGAUCAGUAGCUGGUCUGAGAGGAUGAUCAGCCACAUUGGGACUGAGACACGGCCCAAACUCCUACGGGAGGCAGCAGUGGGGAAUCUUGCGCAAUGGGCGAAAGCCUGACGCAGCCAUGCCGCGUGAAUGAUGAAGGUCUUAGGAUUGUAAAAUUCUUUCACCGGGGACGAUAAUGACGGUACCCGGAGAAGAAGCCCCGGCUAACUUCGUG
rnacentral:rRNA from 1 species